CAAGUGAAAAGAUAUUUGAUUUACGCAAUUGGGACGGGAUCACAUGCUUUACUUUCACAAGAAACUCGUAACAGCCACUGAACAAAAGAAGAAACAGAAUCACUUGAAUUGAUAGCACAGAUAAUCGCCACCUUUUAUUCGAUUUAUCUUCGUCAUCAUCGCUGUUUGGUACAUUACCAUGGCAGUUCAGGGAAAAUGCAGAGAACAAACCAUUUCAGGCUUACACGCGCAUACAUAUAUAUGCAACGGCCAUUCUUAGGCAGCGGAGUUUCCACAAGUCCAUGGCUAUGUCUUAUUUAUCUUCACCAGAUGCACCAACAGCAGGCGAUCCGGUCGACAAUGAGGCAACGCCCUCAGACAAGCACCUGAGCUGCAGCCAGCCUAGCGAUCGGGACCCUGCAAAAAAGGAGUCCAUGAAAAGAUGUUAACGGCUGUAGAUAGCGUCAAAGUAGUGCUAAUCUUCUGAAUUUCAACAAUCUCAGCC
rnacentral:lncRNA from 1 species